rnacentral:lncRNA from 1 species
CAUUUUUCUUCCUGAUAACCUUUUACUAAUGAAGCGCCAGGGCUGAGAAGAGACCAUUUACAAAUGGUGAAUCAUUAGAAACAGAUUUGUGGGCGGGAUGGAUUUUCCAGCAGAGCAUCACUUCUGAGAACACUCUCCUCUGCUAAAAGGAGGAGAAAGGGAACGAGAGCCUCCACGUGGGGAAAAAAGUAGGAGAAAGCCAUGUUAUGAUAUUGAUGUUUUGGGGGAAGGGAAGGGAGAGAGAAGACUAAUAACCCCAUUGAAGACUUUCCUCCAUCUAAUGAGAGUUACUUUAUACAUCAUCAGGACAUACUGCAAUCCUGGCAGGCAGGCAGAACAAGGAAGUGCUGCUGAGGAAAAACCAGAGGUCUUCCAUGACAAUCAAUCCGUUGGAAAGUACUUGGCAAACAGAAGCAGUGGCAGCCUCAGCCUCGGAGGCAUCCCGUACGUCCUGGCCAGCCCAGUUUACGCCAUGGAACAGAGGGAAAAUCCACCGAGGUUGCGAUCCAAAAGGGCUCAAGGGAUGCUGCAUCGAGCACUAUAUUAGCUUUGCUUUGAUGGAGAAGUUAGAAGGAUACUAUAAUAUCAUCAUACACACAUUAUGAGACAUUGUCCAUUUUAUACUUUCCAAGACACAGAUUGUGAGUUCUUGAGAGAGGGACCAUAUAUUUCUCUGAUUCAAUUUAAUUUCAUUCAAUAAAUGAACUGAAUGCCUAUUGUCUGCCA